rnacentral:rRNA from 1 species
UACGUAGGGUACGAGCGUUGUCCGGAGUUACUGGGCGUAAAGCGCGCGCAGGCGGCGGUGUUGGCCCGGCGUGAAAGCCCCCGGCUCAACCGGGGAGAGUCGUCGGGGACCGCACCGCUUGAGGGCGGUAGGGGCUGGUGGAAUGCCUGGUGUAGUGGUGAAAUGCGUAGAGAUCAGGCAGAACACCUGGGGCGAAGGCGGCCAGCUGGGCCGUCCCUGACGCUGAGGCGCGAAGGCGUGGGGAGCGAACGGG